rnacentral:rRNA from 1 species
GACGAACGCUGGCGGCGUGCUUAACACAUGCAAGUCGAACGGAAAGGCCCUGCUUUUGUGGGGUGCUCGAGUGGCGAACGGGUGAGUAACACGUGAGUAACCUGCCCUUGACUUUGGGAUAACUUCAGGAAACUGGGGCUAAUACCGGAUAGGAGCUCCUGCUGCAUGGUGGGGGUUGGAAAGUUUCGGCGGUUGGGGAUGGACUCGCGGCUUAUCAGCUUGUUGGUGGGGUAGUGGCUUACCAAGGCUUUGGCGGGUAGCCGGCCUGAGAGGGUGGCCGGCCACAUUGCGCCUGAGAUACGGCCCAGACUCGUACGGGAGGCAGCGGUGGGGAAUAUUGCACAAGGGGCGGAAGCCUGAUGCAGCCACGCCGCGUGCGGGAUGACGGCCUUCGGGUUGUAAACCGCUUCCGCCUGUGACGAAGCGUGAGUGACGGUAAUGGGUAAAGAAGCACCGGCUAACUACGUG